AUACCCUAUUAUUUUAAGCUAUAUAUUGGUAGUAAUUAAUAAUUUAUGAAAUCAUAAGAUUUUGGCGGUAUUUUAAGCUUAUUAGAGGAAUUUGCUCUGUAAUGGAUACAACGCCUUAAUCUUACUUAAUUUGGUUUUAAAGUCAGUUUGUAUACCACUAUAUUUAAUUAUAUUGAAUAAUUAUAUUUAAGAUUUUUUUUUUAUAAAAAAUAUAUUAAGUCAAGGUGCAAUUUAUAAUUAUGAAUGAAGUGAAUUACAUUAAUUUUAAUUUUACUUAAAUAUUGAAAAAAAAUUAUAGGAUUUAAUAGUAAAA
rnacentral:rRNA from 1 species